UUAACCUGGUUGAUCCUGCCAGUAGUAUAUGCUUGUCUCAAAGAUUAAGUCAUGCAUGUCUAAGUAUAAAUAGCAUACUGUGAAAUUGUGAAUGACUCGUUAAAACAGUUAUAGUUUAUUUGAUAAUGAAAGCCUACAUGGAUAACGGUAGUAAUUCUAGAGCUAAUACAUGCUGUAAAACCUGACUUUUUGAA
rnacentral:rRNA from 1 species